rnacentral:rRNA from 1 species
UACGAAGGGUGCAAACGUUGCUCGGAAUUAUUGGGCGUAAAGCGCACGUAGGCGGCAUUGCAAGUCGGAUGUGAAAUCCCUCGGCUCAACCAAGGAAGUGCAUCCGAAACUGCUGUGCUUGAGUACUUAAGAGGAUCGCGGAAUUCCAGGUGUAGCGGUGAAAUGCGUAGAUAUCUGGAGGAAUACCGGUGGCGAAGGCGGCAUCCUGGACCAUUACUGACGCUGAGGCGCGAAAGCUAGGGGAGCGAACAGG